rnacentral:rRNA from 1 species
AGAGUUUGAUCCUGGCUCAGGACGAACGCUGGCGGCGUGCUUAACACAUGCAAGUCGAGCGGAAUCCAUGGUGUAGCAAUACACCGGAAGAUUUAGUGGCGAACGGGUGAGGAUCACGUGAGAAACCUGCCCCAGACUUUGGGAUAACAAUUGGAAACGAUUGCUAAUACCGAAUGACGUCGGAGAACCGCAUGGUUCACUGACGAAAGGAAAUCCGGUUUGGGAGGGUCUCGCGGCCUAUCAGCUUGUUGGUGGGGUAAUGGCCUACCAAGGCAACGACGGGUAGCUGGUCUGAGAGGAUGAUCAGCCACACUGGGACUGAGACACGGCCCAGACUCCUACGGGAGGCAGCAGUGGGGAAUCUUGCGCAAUGGGCGAAAGCCUGACGCAGCAACGCCGCGUGCGGGAUGAAGGCCUUCGGGCUGUAAACCGCUUUCAGCAGGAACGAAAAUGACGGUACCUGCAGAAGAAGGAGCGGCCAACUACGUGCCAGCAGCCGCGGCGACACGUAGGCUCCAAGCGUUGUCCGGAUUUAUUGGGCGUAAAGAGCUCGUAGGCGGUUUAGUAAGUCGGGUGUUAAAACUCUGGGCUCAACCCGGAGAGGCCAUCCGAUACUGCUGUGACUUGAGUUCAGGAGGGGAGCGGGGAAUUCCUAGUGUAGCGGUGAAAUGCGCAGAUAUUAGGAGGAACACCGGUGGCGAAGGCGCCGCUCUGGACUGAAACUGACGCUGA